AGUGAACGCUGGCGGCAGGCCUAAUACAUGCAAGUCGAACGGCAGCACGGCAGAGCUUGCUCUGUGGGUGGCGAGUGGCGGACGGGUGAGGAAUACAUGGGAAUCUGCCCAGUCGUGGGGGAUAACGUAGGGAAACUUACGCUAAUACCGCAUGCGCCCUUCGGGGGAAAGCCGGGGACCUUCGGGCCUGGCGCGAUUGGAUGAGCCCAUGUCGGAUUAGCUAGUUGGCGGGGUAAUGGCCCACCAAGGCGACGAUCCGUAGCUGGUCUGAGAGGAUGAUCAGCCACACUGGAACUGAGACACGGUCCAGACUCCUACGGGAGGCAGCAGUAGGGAAUAUUGGACAAUGGGCGCAAGCCUGAUCCAGCCAUGCCGCGUGAGUGAAGAAGGCCCUCGGGUUGUAAAGCUCUUUUGUCCGGAACGAAACGGCGAGCUCUAAUACAGUUUGCUAAUGACGGUACCGUAAGAAUAAGCACCGGCUAACUACGUG
rnacentral:rRNA from 1 species